CCGCCAGCAUCCCGAGCCCCGCCGACGCGAUCACGAUGGGGGAAACCAUCUUCGCCGAAAAACCAACCCAAGAAUCUCCCUUCCCUUGGUGCGCAGACUGCUAGCUAACCGGAAACGGAGGAGCAACUGCAGGGGAGGAGGAGGAGUAGGAACUGUAUUUCUUGGCUUCCUUGCCGUGUGUACUUGGCUGGUGCUGGUAGGAGCGGGAGAAGAAGAGAUAUCGAUGGGCGUGUGUGGACGAGGAGAGGUCGUGGCAAUCUGUUGUUUUUGUGGACGGGGUGCGCCGAUUUAUAGGAUUUUUAUCGGGGGUUGAGGUUGUAGGAAGGUGGGUGCUGGGAUAGUUUGUUCGGCAGUUUGGAGGGUAGCGGAGGCGGGGAAGGGAAGGCGUGCCCGCCUCGUUGCCUUUGCUUGCCUGCAUGGUCUGCAUCCGUCGGCUACUCUGCUAUGCUUCCGUGUUUCGGUUGCGGUUUCGUGUGCGCUGCUGGCUGCUUGGCUGCUUGCUGGUUCCUUCUUCUGUGUUCCUUUCCUCUUCCAUGCCACGAGACGAUUCUCUUGAUUACUUGCAAGAUUCUGAUUUAAAGACAUCCCUAGCGGAUUCCUUAUUUUCGCCCUAUUUGUCAAUCGGAAAACAUCAUCCAAUGGGCUCCUCUGGAUAGUCCCGACUGUUCGGUAUCGCCAGUCCCGCCUCAAACUGAAGGAACAAAUAAGGUAGUUUGAACUGUCCGCCACAUUUUUUUGUACCACAUUUUCAUUAGGCAAACCAAAACAGAGUGGUCAAUCGUCCCAGAAUAACAGCAUAUCCACCCUAAAAGGAAUAAGAAUUAUAACAAAGACCAUAAAGGAAGAGAUUGCUGAACUAAAUCCAAGCCUGUUGUCAUCUUCCUUUCACGUCGGCGCCACAUCGCAUCGAAGCUUUCUGAACCGAAUAAAGAACCGCCAUGAACAGCAGGAUACUUAUCUCUGUGGCAUAACGGUCGGGGAACAACCCCGAACACUUCAGGUCUCGAAACCGCCAUCUUCAGGCAACGCCGUUGAAGAAGACAGACAAAUUCGCCAACCCUCACACACAAACCCAGUACCGAAGAGGUCGUCAGCAUAUGCUCGUCCCUAUCGCCAUCCGAAGCGGCGACCAUCGCCUCGCCGACAACACCUCUGAACACCAGAUCCACCACACAUGAGUAAUGGUGGAAAACAAAUCCCUUUGAUCCAUCGACAUCGUCGUUGAGGACGUCGUCGAGAUGUGGCUGGGAUCGGGGAACAAUUAUUCUCAACGUCAACGCCGCCGCCAUCCAAAACGUUGACGAAGAAAUCUACAAUCCUAUUCCUAACUAUAUACCAGGAUAGAAAAACCGGGGUUUCCUUCCUCACCCGUCGUCGGAGAGGCAAACAGAGGGGAAGAGAACCCCCGGCCUCGCCGGCGUAGUGAAGAGGAAACUGUUGCCGCUUUUUCUCUCGAGAGAGAAUAGGCGAGGCAACCGCCAAAGAACAAGAAAGAUUAACUGUCCGCCACAUUGAUCGAACAGUUCGGGCCCAUACUCCCAUGUAAAGAACCUAUUGGAACCUCAUUCCCGUACCACACUCCACCCUCAUGUCCUUUGCUCUCUGUCUUCACUUGCGGACCCCGACUCCUCUGUUGCACCCACCUCAAACACCGCCCAGAUCUAGCCAGACCUCGGUCACUCCACCUUACCGCCAAGACACAGUCGUGGGAUCCCUACGACGCUCAGAUACCCUUCGCACUAUAGAUGAAGUCCAUGUCGGACACCGCACACAUCGUGUUCAAUGAAAUGCCAUACAACGAUGAGAUGCAACGACCACAUGAAUGUGCCCGGAGCCAGGGUGGCUAGGAUGGGCCGCGACCCACCCUGAAUUUAAGAAUCGGACUUUAUACUAUAGCAAAACAAAUCAAAUAAAAAAAUAAUUUUUUUAUUAGUGCAUGGACUGUUGGCCCAUCCUGGCCUAUUAGGAUGGGUCCACCAUUAAAUGGGCCUAACUACAACAUGGUGGCACUACUUUGUCGAUGAUGUCCAUUCUUCGUGGACGACGUUUGUCAAGACGAUCUCGUAUCCAAUAGGUAACAGAAAUAUCAGUUUUUUUCUUCCAAAAAGCAAGAAGGUGUUAGGAAGGAUUUGAAGAGAUCGUUUGAAGUGCUCCAAGCACAUUUUGUAAUUGUUCAAGGACAUGCUAAAUAGGGAGAUAUUGAGACAUCGGGGAAGAUGAUGAAUGUUGUUUGAUCAAAUACAACAUGAUGGGGACGGUGUUCGCAAUCUUAAUUUUGACAUGGGUGAUCAUGUCGACCUCCCACAACAAGGCCCGACUUAGCUUGAGAAUUUUCUCGAGAUGCAUGAGAGGAUUUGUGGUUGACAGGCUCAUCAACAACUACUAAAUAAGUAAAUAGUCUACUGAAGCAUUUGUGGGUGUUCUAUAAAAAUCAACAGAGCAUGUGAGGCUGACUAAAUUGAGUUUAAAUCNNNNNNNNNNNNNNNNNNNNNNNNNNNNNNNNNNNNNNNNNNNNNNNNNNNNNNNNNNNNNNNNNNNNNNNNNNNNNNNNNNNNNNNNNNNNNNNNNNNNAGCCAGCGCUGCGCGACGCGGCAAACCAGCCGAAGCGCGCGCGGCAAAUAAAUUUUUUGGGCGCGGCGCGAAGCGCGGCUGUUGGAGAUGCUCUAAUAGCAUCUACAACCAAACUUGGCAAACCCGACACUUCAAACAUCCGCGGGCGCGCGCAUGCUGUCCUGUCUUUUGUAAGAGCUUCUACAACCAAACUUGGCAAAUCCAAUCCCUCAAACACCCGCAAACGCGCCCGCACACGUCCGCGGACACUAACCAGUCAGGACUCAAAUAAUGCAUUCUACAACCGGACACCUCAAAUUAGAAACCUCAAAUCAGUUUUAUUACACGCAACAUAAACCUAAUAUAUGCGGAGCUCAUCUAGCUCCGCCCUGCCCAUUUCCGGCGGCCGGCUCCGCCCCUCGUAGUGUCGUUCCGGUCGUCGACGAGGUAAAGUAGAACAUGGGACACUAUGAUAGGUUCAAACCCGCUGAACGAGUUCAUGCCCGAGGGUGGCCCGAUCUUCACAACGUAGGAUCGAAUCGGAAACGAUAACUAGCUUUAUACUUGUCAAGGUUGGAUGCAAGCCGUACGUCGGGGAUGGCUGACCGGAGCUAAAAAACUUCAACCUGUUGUCUGAACAAUUGCAGAACCAUAAACCGGGACUAACCCACACAAAACGGCCGAAAUCGUAGAGCACGAAUUAGGAGGAGCCCAAGGCUCCUAGUGAAUCCGGAUUAACUCACAAGAGCAAAGGUGGUAAGGAUCUCUCGAAUCUCUAGCAGUCUUGCUGCAUAAGCUUGUAGCUGAAUGGAUUGACUAAGGUUCCUAAAAGGAUAUGGGAGAUGGGAUUUUAUAGUAGGGACAACCCCCUUAACUAGAUGUGAAAAGGUUUCAAAAGUAAUCAGCUUUGCAUGGCUUCCUUGAAAGAAUAAGCAAUCAAUUUUUGGAGUUGUUGGAGAGCUGCUCGGAAAUUCACGAAGUUUUGACAACUUGGACACCUUCUAUGAGAACGACUAGAACUCUUGACUCACAACUCCAAAUGAUAUGAGGUUUCUUGCAUUGAAAAAUAAAUUUGAUGCAGCUUCUGGUGGUGUAUCCCUAUGGUCUUGUAUCUCCUUCAAAAGGGAUUUGGAACAAUGAAACAUCAGUGGUAAAAACUAACAGCAUCAACUUUAUUUGAAACUUAUUUUCUUUAAACUUGUUUUUGCAAACCGUCUGCUUCAAGAGCUCAUAGGAUAUUGGAUUUUUUUCAUGUGAUACCUACGUUCAACCAAAAACAAUGGGGAUUAAAGCAUAGUUGUCUCAUCAAGGUUACAAGGUGAACUUAAGUUAGCGUUUGAUGAUCUUCGUGCAAGCCUAUCUAAAAUUGUAAUUUGAUGUUGACGUAUGUAAAUUGGAUGAUGAUGAUGUUUGUAAAAUGGAUGCCACCUUAUAUGAUAUAUGUAUGUACAUGUGAACAAUAUGUAUACAUGAAUUGUAAUGGGUUGUAUAAAUAGUACAGUACAUGCACUUUUUUUAAACCGGAAAUUACUCGGCAGUAGGUGCUCUUUAGUGGAGCAUCUGUUGUGGAACAACCUUGCUUUCAUGCACUCCACAAGUAGUGACGAGUCUUGCAACAUGCGUGCUACAAAACAUAAAUUAGCAAUGGCGGGCCAUCGCCCGUCACUGGUGGCUUAUUAGUAGUGGGGGGAGGUCAUUGACGGGCACGGUUGGGCCCCUAUCCUGUCAGUGACGGCCCUUUUACACCCGCCGCUACUAGGCAUACCUGCGAUAGUGAGAAGCCCCUAUCAUUCUCUAAACAAGCAUUGUCACACAUACCCCUUUUGCAGGAACAGUCGAGGCACUCAGGGAUCUCAUCUACCUUAUCCUCAUCCAUUUACUGUGUUCAUAAAUAGAAGAUUAAAAUUUGACAAAAAAUAUUCAUAACGGUGAGGGCAACAGUGCAGAAGUAGCUAGUACGAUGAUACAUAUAACUAGGUUUAUCAAGCCUACGAAUUAGGUUCUAUGAUGAUGAGUGACAUAGUACAGUAUAGUAACUUUCAUAGUUUCAAUAGUACUACAAUAAUAGUUCAAACAUCUCUAGCACAUAGUGACACAACUAGCUUCGGCGGAGAGAGAAAAUCAUAAUCAAAUUCAAUGUGACAACCUCAUCAUCCAUGUUGGAGUACUUGGUCCUAGUCUAUCGGGGCAUCCUCGGCCUCCUUGUCUCGUGCAGCCUUCAGCAAUGCCUCGUUCAAGGCAUAGAGCUACGAAUCCUCCCUGCGAUAAUGCUCCACCAAGGAAUCAUUGCGUUGAUGUUGUCGGGACCUCAUCAACUCCUCGGCCUUGAAGGUUACCCUCAUGUUGGGAUAUGCUAGCCGACUUUUGCGCCACACAUCAUGGGGAAAGUUGAGCUGGGUCCUUGGCCCCUGGUACUCCAAUGCCACGACAUCAAAAGCGUGCGUUGUCUCCUCAGCAAUGUCGAACAUGUCGAGCCAUUACUUCUUGCGUGUGUUAGGAUUUUGAGUCUUGACCGCCCACUUACUCAAAGGCCUAAGUAAAACAUCACGGUACAUGUUGUUGUCUGCCAUUUUCAACAAAAAAGUUCCCCAGAACAUAUAGAUACAUAAAUUUAAAGAUGUACUAUUUUUUUUGGCAUGAUCUAUGCUUAAUAAUGGACAUAUAAGUCCUACAAUCAACAUUUCAACAAAACAUUAUCGCUUACUAUGAAUGAAAUCUGAUCAUAUCACGGGUCGGGUCGGGUUAAGAAAAAUGCCAAGGCGGAGCCCGGCCCGGCCCAAAGCACACGAACAGUAACAUUUCUUUAUUAAAUUAAUCAUAUUCAUGAUAUUAUAUNNNNNNNNNNNNNNNNNNNNNNNNNNNNNNNNNNNNNNNNNNNNNNNNNNNNNNNNNNNNNNNNNNNNNNNNNNNNNNNNNNNNNNNNNNNNNNNNNNNNACCGAGUUGUUAGGCGUGCGCGUGUGUGUUUAUCUCUAUUGUAAACGUGUUGGGGUUGUUAGGAUUAGAUCUCCUCUUCUGUUUAUAUUCUUGGAGAUCAAUCUACACCCCCAACCGAUAUGUAAUCUUCUUCUAUAUAAACACGGACACGCCCUGCCGAAAGGUAUGCGCUUAAGCCUCUCGUUUUACAUGGUAUACAGAGCAAACUCUUCCCAUCGCAUCUACGAGCGCCAUGUCGUCCUCCCCCUCUGUCGCCAUGGCGGUUCCCUCUCUCGCGUCGCUAGGUCACACCGUGACAGAAAAACUCACCAGGGAAAACUUCCUGGUGUGGAAGACCCAGGUCAUACCACACAUCAGGGCCGCCGGCAUGGUCGGCUACCUGGACGGCACCAUCAAGGAACCAGCCUCGACCUUGACAACGAAGAAGAAGGUCUCCGGCAAGAAGGUGGCGGAGGAGGUGGCCAACCCGAAGCACUCGAUCUGGGUGACCCAAGACCAGCAGGUCCUCACCUUCCUCCUUGCCACCAUGACUCGAGAAGUGUUGCUCCAGGUGAACAAUCUCAACACUGCAGCGACCGUUUGGGCGGCUGUUCUGCAGAGCUUCUCAUCUCAAUCUCGAGCCAAGAUAAGUCAACUUCGUUCUCAGAUUGGUCGUACCCGCAAGGGAGAUCUUUCUGCUGCUGCAUAUUUUUGCAAGAUGAUAACCAUUGUCGAUGAACUGGCGGCUGCUGGUAAGCCACUUGAUGAAGAUGAGGUAGUCUCGCAUAUCUUGGAAGGUCUUGAUGCAGAUUACAAUCCUUUCGUCUCUGCCAUAUCCAUGCGUGUGGAUCAAGGAGUAGGCCUGAAUGAGCUCUACUCCCUCCUGCUCUCGACCGAAGCUCGCAUCGACGCCCAGAGCACCUACACCAACUCCAGCACCAAUCUUGCCUCCAAGGGGGGCAACCGUGGUGGCUUCAGCCACCCAUCUGGUGGCAACUCCAGAGGGGGCGGCAACUCUCGCGGCAACAACAACUCUGGAGGCUGGGGCUCUCGUCCCACCAAUACCUCCAGCAACUCCGACACUCGCCAGGGUGGGGGAGACAUCAUCAGGUGCCAAUUCUGCAAGCUUGAGGGCCACGGAGCUUGGCGCUGCAAGAAAAUGUAUGACCGCAACUACAACAACAACUUUAACGCCAGACAGGAGGUGGAGGUGGUGGUGAUCGUUCUGCAAACACUGCUACAAACUCCUAUGGCGUAGAUACCAAUUGGUAUCUUGACACCGGAGCCACGGACCACUUGACAGGCGACCUUGAACGGCUUGCAGUCCGUGAUCGCUACACCGGCAACGAGCAAAUCCACACUGCAAGUGGACAAGGUAUGGAUAUUGCACAUGUUGGUCAUUCGGUUUUAACUACUCCUCAAGGCUCACUUAGGUUGAACAAUAUUCUUCAUGUUCCAUGUGCAUCCAAAAAUCUUCUUUCCGCAUACCAACUUAUGGAAGAUAACCAUGCUUACCUUGAACUUCACCCCCAAUUCUUCUUUGUCAAGGAUCAGGACACACGGAGAGUUCUCCUUCAAGGCAGGAGUAAGAGGCGCCUAUUCCCUGUCACGGGUCAUCAUGUGGCCCCGCAGCGAGAAGUGCUUGGUGCAAUCAAACCUUCAACCUCUCGAUGGCACAAGCGCCCGGGUCAUCCUGCCUUUCCAGUGGUUCAACAAAUUCUUCGCAAUUUUAGUCUUCCAGUGUCAAUAAUAAAGAUCAUCUCUUAGUUUGUGAUGCAUGUCAGAUGGCUAAAAGCCAUCAACUACCAUGCCCCUCGAUCAACUAGUGAGUCCAAAGCUCCUUUAGCGCUUGUUUUUUCAGAUGUUUGGGGCCCUCGGCCUCUUUCUGUCGGAAGACAGAAAUUUUAUGUCAGUUUCAUCGAUGAUUUCAGCAAGUUUAGUUGGAUUUAUUUGCUUAAACAUAAGUCUCAUGUGUUUGAGAAAUUCCGUCUUUUCCAACAACAUGUUGAACGCCUAUUUGAUCGUAAAAUCAUUGCUAUGCAAACUGAUUGGGGUGGUGAAUACCAAAAGCUUAAUUCCUUUUUGAGCGUAUAGGGAUCACUCAUCACGUGUCUUGUCCCCAUGCUCAUCAACAGAAUGGUUCCGCAGAGCACAAACAUAGACACAUUGUCGAAGUCGGGUUAUCCCUUCUUGCUCAUACAUCCAUGCCCUUAAAAUUUUGGGAUGAGGCAUUCCUCACUGCCGUCUAUCUUAUUAACCGCAUACCCAGUCGUGUUAUCAAAAAUCAAUCCCCACUAGAACGACUUUUUGAUACUAAACCCAACUUCAAUUUUCUCCGCAUUUUUGGGUGUGCUGUUUGGCCUAAUGUUCGUCCUUUCAACAAACAUAAACUUGAAUUUCGCUCCAAACAAUGUGCAUUCUUAGGUUACAGUACUCUCCACAAGGGUUACAAGUGCCUAGAUAUUUCCUCUAGCCGAGUCUAUAUUUCCUGGGAUGUUUUUGAUGAACAUGUUUUCCCUUUUGCUAGCCUCCACCCUAAUGCCGGCGCACAACUUCGCAAGGAGCUAGUUCUCCUUCCCUCACAUCUUCUACCAUCCUCACUUCUUGUUCCGGGAGUAGUAGAUGACCGUAAUGAUCACAUGUCUAUGUCUAAUGAUACCUUUGACCCUGCGUCUGAAAGUGUGCAGGAACCAGGAGCUAGCACGGAAGAAACAGGCGAAGAAACAGGUGAAAAUUCGCGUCAUUUUAUGCAGGAUCUGGAUUCUGGUGCUCCAGCCACAGAAAAUCCGGCCUUCACAGCUCCUGGAACUCAUGUGGGUGGGAAAUCUGCGUCGGGAUCGGCGGCGUCAGGAGUUGCACGUGAAUCUGCCGCGGGAUCUGCGCGGGCUGAUUCGCUUGGCUCCCUCGGUGUUGGAAACUGUGCACGUGUCGCGUCCCCGCUUGCCUNNNNNNNNNNNNNNNNNNNNNNNNNNNNNNNNNNNNNNNNNNNNNNNNNNNNNNNNNNNNNNNNNNNNNNNNNNNNNNNNNNNNNNNNNNNNNNNNNNNNGAGAUAUACAAUGUUUAACAUGGAGGACGAGUACCUUUUUUCCCGUCUCAGACGACAUUAUCUAUCGGAUGUGUAUAGGGAUACAUCUGGACAUGAUGACAUAGUUAUGUAACAUCUAAAUUGAUUUUAUUUUCAUCAGUUUUUAACUUUGUUUUUAUUUUCUUUGAUUGUUUUCUUCUGUUAUCCAGGUGCUUGCGGCGAGGCGGAAGCUCGCCUCGCUAGUGUCUUGGGCGUCCGUUCAGUUUUUUUUACGUUCAGUUCAGGCUACGCUACCCUCCACUUUAUUUCCCGUUCGAUGGCUCAUCCUUUUCCCUCCCAAUAAUUUUGUUUCUCAUAUAAGCUUUAUAUUCGUGUAUAUUUUAGAGAGGCAUCACCAACGCAAAAUACAAAACUAAUUGGGACAUGGUCAAUCGCCCGCUUGCUUAUGGUGGGCUUGGAGUUCUUAACAUCAACAAGUUUGUGCGGACGGUGGCCUUGAUACGAGUGAAACAAUCCCAUAAAGUUAUUGAUAGGGACCGGGAACCCAUGCGACGCGGAAGACCUCGACUUAUUCUACGCCUAUAAUACCAUUACAGGUCGGGAAUGGUGUGAGGACUUCAUUUUGUAACUUCCUUUGGAUUCUUGGCCGCAAGCAUAAGGAUAUCGCUCCAUUCAUUUUUGAGUCUUCCUUCCGAAAUCGUUGGAAAAAAGCAUGGAUACUCAAAAUCAGACCGCCUGCAUCAAUUUCCAUCGAGCAUGUCAUGCAAGUUUUUCAUCCUUUGAAUGCUUCUGCAUGAGGUGCAACUUCAUGAGCUUGCUGAGGAUGAUAUUCUUUGAGCACACACAAUCUAGGUAAUACUCGGCGGCCUCUGCCUAUAGGGCAUAGUUUUUGGGUUUGGUUUUCUCCCUCAUGGACCAAAUGGUUUGGAAGGUUUGAACACCACCGAAAGUCAAGUUCUUUGCCUCGCUUGCAUUUCAAGACCGGAUCUGGACGGCUUACGGAUUAGAUAAGCGAGGAUGGCCAAGCUGUGGCCCUUGCUUCCUGUGCAGGGGGCGUACAGGACUGUGGUCCACAUCUUUUCUUUAGAUGUCUUUAUACUCUCACGCUUUGAAACUUGGUGAUUCAGAAAUUUCGCACCGACGACUUGGACACAUCGGCCUGGCACUUGUUCGACUGUGGGUAGGGGUGGGCAUUCGGUAGAAACCGAAAAUUCGGUUUAUGCCAUUCGGUUUUUUUCUUAAUUCGGUUAGUAAAACUAAAAAACUGAAAUAACAACACAAAAGAACUAACCAAAGAUUCGGUUCGGUUUUUGGUUUAUACCGAACAAUUGUUUUGUUGCUGAUAAGCUACAGUGCAAAUCCUGACUCAACCAUCAGACCUCUUAUAUAGCCGAGGAGCUUAUCUAUUUGAGGAUAGCUAGUCGAUGUGGGACUAAACAAAUAAGAUAGUCAUGUGCUGCUACAUAGUUCACCUGCAUGAAUGGGCCAUUCAGUUUACUUGGACGUCCCAUGCGGCCAUGCCUGUGAUAGCUGGCUGGUGGUUGGUUUCGCUUGCACGUGCGCCGGAGCACAAGAAAAGUGGGCGCGAGUGGUUGUAGGCUUCUCGCCUGUUGCGUGUUGAACUCAUGGUCCUACGGCCACGUGAAGACGAUCACCAAAACUAACUAUAUGCUGGCUGAGAGUGGUUGUAGCUUCGCGCGACGUGAGGACGUGAGGUCGUCUGGAGUACUGGAUCGCUCAAGGAUUCGAUUUUUCUUUCGGUGAUCGGCUUCAUACCGAACCUACCGAUUUGAGUUCGGUUCCUGAAAGCAAAAACCGAAUUUAACUGUAGCAACAGCAAAAAACCGAAAAUUUGGUUUAUUCGGUUUCGGUAUUCGGUUUGUCGGUUUUUAUGACCACCCCGAACCGUGGGCAUCGCCAACCGAAAAGAAAAGGCAUCGACCACCAUGGUGGUGUCGUGGGUCAUAUGAAACGUGCGUAAGGUAGGAAUGUUCCGGCAAAAGAGCGCACCUCCGCAAAUUUUGCUCAACUUCAUUGUCGAUGAGGCCAAUCCUUGGAUCAAAGCUAGGGCAAAGAAGUUAGGGUCUUUCUUAUUACGUGAAUAGUUAAGGAGUACAGCAUAAACAUUUUGGCGUAAUUAAAAAAGAAUGUUUUCUACAAUUCAAAAAACAUGUACGCGACAUUUUAAAAACAAUUGUUUGUGGCAUUUAUAAAUGUUUAUAAAAAUGUAAAAAGUAUACAUGUAGCAUAAAAAAUGUUUCAUAGUAUUCAAAUAAAUGUUCAAUGUCUAUUUAAAUUUUUUUAACACACAGCAGAAAAAUGUGCAAACUAUAUAUUGGAAAAUAAUGUUAAUCAUGCAUUUGGAAAAAAUCAACGCGUAUGAAAAAAUCCAGAUGUAUACAUAAAAGGCACGAGUAUUUAGAGAGAGUAUUACAAAAAUAUAAAAAAUAUAUAUAAUCAUGUAUUUAGAAAAUGUUUAAGACUUGCUUGUUGCACUUAUGUUGAAGACAUGACGUCGGCACAUGGAGUUUAAAGGCGAGGGAGACACUUCUAGUUGCAUAUUCCAUGAUGGUCAUGUAACUAGCAUUACAAAAAUAUGAUUUUUAUAAGAAAAAAAAGGAAAAAAAUGAAAGUAAAAAAGGAAAACAAAGAGGACACACAUGCAACUGGAAAAAAAUGUCGGGUCCAUCAGUUGCAUAUCGAGGGUGGACCUACAACUUGGACUAAAAGGGAUCGUCCCCGCUCCUAGUUGUGUAUCGAAGAUAGACUUGAAACUGGGGAAAAAAUGGGCCGGGUUGCAUGUCGAGGAUUGAAUUGCAACUGGGACAAAAUGGAUCGGGCCCCUAACUGUGUGUUGUGGGUGGAGUUGCAACUGAGAUAAAAAGAAAUCGUCCCACACCCAGUUGUUUGUUAAGUGUGGACUUGCAGUGUAACAUCCCAAAAUUUUCCAGAUUCUGAAAUGUUAAGAAUAAGAAUUUCUUGAGUGAAUUGCCAUGAUUUUUAGGGGAAUUAAAACUUUUUGGGACCUUGUUUAAACCUUUUCAAACCAUAUUAUGAAAGUUGGAUAAUCUAUUAUCCAAUAAAGAAAUGAUGGUUGAGAGGUUUAUACAAAAAGUAUAUNNNNNNNNNNNNNNNNNNNNNNNNNNNNNNNNNNNNNNNNNNNNNNNNNNNNNNNNNNNNNNNNNNNNNNNNNNNNNNNNNNNNNNNNNNNNNNNNNNNNCUGGAAAAACUGAAAAUUUAAAGAAAGGUCUAGAGGCGAAUAACUAAUACCUUCGGAGAAAAAAAAGGAAAAAGUAGCUACUGGCCGUGACCCAUGCAUAGUGUAUUUCUCGCAAUAAGUAGUGUAUAUAGGUCUCACAAAAAGGUAGAUAUAGCCUUUGCGCAAAACCUUUACGGUCAUGGUAAGCGUUACUCCCACACUACUUUAAUUCAAAUGAAUUAUAUAGGAUUGAGCAGUGCUAUACAGACGAUAUUUCUCGGAAGAAUUUUGCAUGACGUAGCAGAUCAAACCAGUGGUGAGGUGGACUGAAAGUGCAGCGACCUGUGGAUGUUGCAUCGUCCGAAUUUUGUACAAGAAACAUCAUCUGUGCAGUUGUUUCAAGUAGGAUUAUUUGUAGGAUUUGGAGAGUUAGAAAAUUUCCCAUGGGGUUCAUUUUUGCUCCAUGUUGAAGGAAACUUUCUAUCCACUCAAAUCUCUUACUAGAAAUCCUUUGUGUCUAUUAUAUCAAAUACUAUUCCGUCGAAAUUCAUGUAGCUUUCCUAUAAGAUAUAAGAGGACGUGAUACUUUAUUUCAGCCUUUUCCUAUUCGACGGCCUUUAAGGAUGCGCAGGAUCGUUGUAUGCCCUAGCAAUGCGACAUGGCUGGGACCUUCGGUUUUAGAUGUUAGCCUUUCAUGUGAUGUCUAUUUGUCAAAUGGAUAUGAGUAGCGACAGAUGUUGCCAAGAUGAUGGUUUUAGAAUACCUGAUGUAUUGUUUUGUAAGAUUUUUAUAAAUAAUUAGUAAAAUGGUUGCAUGUGUCGUUCAGAUGCAGAGACCGGGGUCAUCCUCCUUUUCAAAAAAUAAAAAAACAUCAAUCACUUCUCUCUCCCGCGCAGUAAGGAACUUACACACACUUUGACGUUUCUACGAAUAUAUAUCUCGGAUAGAGGUACACACACGCCACAGUUCUUAGCUGCACGGUUGGAUCCACAAAAGAACCAAAUGCUACACUUUUGAAGAAAUUUAGGCCUAUCAGUCUUCUUAAUUGCAUUUUUAAAGUUUUUACUAAAGUCCUCACUAAUAGGUUGUCCAAUAUCAUGGACAGGCUGAUAUCUAGCAAUCAGUCUGCCUUUAUCAAAGGUAGAUACAUCCUUGAAAGUGUAGUAGUGGCACAUGGGGCCAUCCACUCACUUUCCAAUUCAGGAAGCAAAUGGAUUGUGCUAAACCUGGACUAUGAGAAAGCUUUUGACAAAGUCAAUGUAGAUUUGUUAGAGGAAUUACUCACCAAAAGGGGUUUAAGUAGCAAAUGGAUCGGUUGGAUCCACAAAAUUACUGCCCGUGGUGGGUCCAUUAGAGUGAAACUUAACAAUCUAGAAAGUAACUUCUUUUCAAAUGCCAAAGGACUCAAGCAGGGAGAUCCUUUGUCACCAUUGCUUUUUAACCUGGUAGUAGAUGUUCUCAUAAGAAUGUUAUCAAAAGCUGCUGACACUAAUUUGAUAAAAAAAACUUUCUUAAGAGGAUUGCCCUGAAGGGGUAAUUAGUCUUCAAUAUGCCGAUGAUACCAUUAUGUUUGUAGAUAGUGACCCAACUAUGGCCACUAACCUGAAAUGGGUUCUCACUUGCUUUGAGCAGGUCUCAGGGAUGAGAAUAAACUAUGACAAAAGUGAGAUGAUGCCUAUGAAUCUGCUAGAUAAAAUUCAAAGGAUUGCUGGUUGGAGAGGGAAAUUACUCUCUUACAAAGGGAUGCUAACUCUGAUUAAAAUCUGUCUAGCUAGUAUUCCAAUCUAUCUGUUGCCCUUUUUGAAAUUCCCAAAAUGGGCAUUAGACAUGAUCAAUUCCCAAAUGGCAAAAUGUCUUUGGGAUGAUUAUGAAGGUCACAUGAAACUUCACCUAGCCCAUUGGCAAUUAGUGUGUAUGAAGCAGGAAUUUGGGGGGUUGGGGAUCCCAAACGUUCAUGACCUGAACAUCUGCUUACUUGGAUCCUGGGUCAAGAGAUACAUGUGUGGAGAAGGGAAAAUUUGGAAAAACUUUGUUGAUUCCAAAUAUCUCCAAAAUGUUCCCAACAUCUUUGAGGGGAAGACCCACAGAGCCUCCCAGUUCUGGAAAGGGGUAAUGUGGGCAACAAAAGCAGUUAAGAUGGGAUCUAGAUGGGUAGUUGGGGAUGGUACUAAGAUGAGAUUCUGGAAAGAUUCUUGGCUUGGUACAUUCCCAUUAGCCAUACAAUUCUUAGAUCUCUAUUACAUUGGUAGAGAACAAUGCAAUACAAUUAGUCAACUAUGGGAUUUGCAAGUACUUAAAAUCAGUUUUGAAAGAGUGUUCGAUGAACAAAUGAUGCUUAGGUGGUAUGAAUUAGAAGAAUUAGCUAAGAGUAUAACCCUGUCUCAUGAUUGUGUCUCCCUGGUGUGGCAAUAUGAGUCCUUUGGACAAUACUCAUCCAGCUCCUUAUACACCAUCAUUAAUUUCAGGGGUGUGACUCCUGGCUGUGUUCUUACCUGUAGUGUGGAAAAUCACAGUUCCUCCUCGAGUGCAUGUUUUUCUUUGGCUGUUAUUCUAUAAUAAGAUGAUUGCUAGGGAUAAUUUGCUCAAGAGGAACCUCGGGGUAACCUGAAGACUGUUUUCUGUACUUGCAAAGAAACAACACACCGCCUCUUUUUUGAAUGAGCUAUCACCAAAGAGAUCUGGUCCAUGAUCAGUCAAUUACUUGGCAGGUCUCUUGGAUCCAAUCUAGAAUCUAUUGCAUCCUUGUGGGUUGCUGGCAAGCAACUUGAUCUUGUUAACAUUGUGUGCUCUGCAGUCUUAUGGGGCAUAUGGAAAUUUAGAAAUAGCAUGAUUUUAAUGGGGUGUUUUGGAUGUCUAUUAAACAGAUUUGGUGGCACAUCUUAAAGCUCGUCAGGAAAUGGAAGGUGAUCUUCAAGGAACACAUGAAGCUUCGCCUUGGAAAACUUCGAAGGCCAGUUGAUGAAGAUGAUCAGAAGCCCUCUUGCUCUUGCUUGAAGAUGACUGAGGGGAUUGUUCCUGCCAAGAUGAUCAUGCAGAACACAGCAGCAAGGCGCCAGUUGACGCCCGAUCCGACCUUCACUCUGGAUUUCGGAAGCCUACAAUCCCCUGUCAGCACAUGAUUAGCAGCGCGCAGGGAGAAAAGUGCAGGUUGGCCGAGAAAAUGAUCUCCUCUUCUAGUUUCAUCCUUGUUGACUUUAGUUCCAUUGUCUCCCCUGGGGAGAAGAUGUAAUAAAUAGAUUUCCUUUAUUGCUUCCUGUAUGGGUAGGCUGUGUGCGUUUUUGGACUGCCGUUUUUAGGCUGCUGUGGUACUUGGGUUGGCUUCUAUUUUAUAUAAAAUGGCAGCCGAGGAGCUCUUCUCUUUCGUCUAAAAAAACAUGCUACAGUUCAGCUUAGCAUCAGACGCUGUAUGGCCAGAUGAAACAUCACUCAAGAAUGGAGGUGCCUGUUUGCAAGAUGGUAGUCGUCAUGAUCGCGAUCGUGGACAUGGAAGAGCAACAGAAGGUAACACUGGCCNNNNNNNNNNNNNNNNNNNNNNNNNNNNNNNNNNNNNNNNNNNNNNNNNNNNNNNNNNNNNNNNNNNNNNNNNNNNNNNNNNNNNNNNNNNNNNNNNNNNUGGAAGAGGUUUAGUCAGCGGGUCUGCUACAUUCAGAUCCGUGUGCACUUUGCAUAUAUUUACGUCCUCCUCCUCGACGUAGUCGCGGAUGAGGUUGAAGCGUCGUUUGAUGUGUCUGGUCUUCUUGUGAAACCUUGGUUCCUUUGCCAAGGCAAUGGCACCAGUGUUGUCACAGAACAAGGUUAUUGGAUCCAGUGCACUUGGCACCACUCCAAGAUCCGUCAUGAACUGCUUCAUCCAGACACCCUCUUUAGCCGCCUCCGAGGCAGCCAUGUACUCCGCUUCACAUGUAGAAUCUGCUACGACGCUUUGCUUGGAACUGCACCAGUUUACUCCACCCCCAUUAAGAAUAAAUACGUAUCCGGUUUGCGACUUAGAGUCGUCCGGAUCUGUGUCAAAGCUUGCAUCGACGUAACCUUUUACGGCGAGCUCUUCGUCACCUCCAUACACGAGAAACAUCUCCUUAGUCCUUUUCAGGUACUUCAGGAUAUUCUUGACCGCCGUCCAGUGAUCCACUCUUGGAUUACUCUGGAACCUACCUGCCAUACUUAUGGCCAGGCUAACAUCCGGUCCAGUGCACAGCAUUGCAUACAUGAUAGAGCCUACUGCUGAAGCAUAGGGGACGGAGCGCAUAUGCUCUCUAUCUUCAUCAGUUGCUGGGCACUGAGUCUUACUCAAUCUCGUACCUUGUAACACCGGCAAGAACCCUUUCUUGGACUGUUCCAUUUUGAACCUCUUCAAAACUUUAUCAAGGUAUGUGCUUUGUGAAAGUCCUAUCAGGCGUUUUGAUCUAUCCCUAUAGAUCUUAAUGCCUAGAAUGUAAGCAGCUUCUCCUAGGUCCUUCAUAGAGAAACUUUUAUUCAAGUAACCUUUUAUGCUCUCCAAAAGCUCCACGUUGUUUCCAAUCAGUAAUAUGUCAUCCACAUAUAAUAUUAGAAACGCCACAGAGCUCCCACUCACUUUCUUGUAAAUACAAGAUUCUCCAACCACUUGUAUAAACCCAAAUGCUUUGAUCACCUCAUCAAAGCGCUUGUUCCAACUCCGAGAUGCUUGCACCAGUCCAUAAAUGGAUCGCUGGAGCUUGCACACCUUGUCAGCAUUUUUAGGAUCGACAAAACCUUCGGGUUGCAUCAUAUACAACUCUUCUUUAAGGAAACCAUUAAGGAAUGCCGUUUUGACAUCCAUCUGCCAGAUUUCAUAAUCGAAAAAUGCAGCUAUUGCUAACAUGAUUCUGACGGACUUAAGCAUCGCUACGGGUGAGAAGGUCUCAUCGUAGUCAACUCCUGGAACUUGUGAAAAACCCUUUGCCACAAGUCGAGCUUUAUAAACGGUCACAUUACCGUCAGCGUCCGUCUUCUUCUUAAAGAUCCAUUUGUUCUGAAUAGCCUUGCGGCCUUCAGGUAGUAUCUCCAAAGUCCACACUUUGUUCUCAUACAUGGAUCCUAUCUCGGAUUUCAUGGCUUCUAGCCAUUUGUUGGAAUCUGGGCCCACCAUUGCUUCUUCAUAAUUUGCAGGUUCAUUGUUGUCUAACAACAUGAUUGACAAGACGGGAUUACCGUACCACUCUGGAGCAGCGCGUCAUCUCGUCGACCUGCGUGGUUCAAUAGAAACUUGAACUGGAGUUUCAUGAUCAUCAUCAUUAACUUCCUCCUCAACCGGCAUCGCAAUGACAGAGGUUUCCCCUUGCCCUGCGCCACCAUCCAGAGGGAUGAGAGGUUCGACAACCUCGUCAAGUUCUAUCUUCCUCCCACUCAAUUCUCUCGAGAGAAACUCCUUCUCGAGAAAAGUUCCGUUCUUAGCAACAAACACUUUGCCCUCGGAUUUGAGAUAGAAGGUGUACCCAACUGUCUCUUUUGGGUAACCUAUGAAGACGCAUUUUUUUUCGCUUUGGGUUCCAGCUUUUCAGGCUGAAGCUUUUUGACAUAAGCAUCACAUCCCCAAACUUUAAGAAACGACAACUUUGGUCUUUUGCCAUACCACAGUUCGUAUGGUGUCGUCUCAACGGAUUUUGAUGGUGCCCUAUUUAAAGUGAAUGCAGCUGUUUCGAAUGCAUAACCCCAAAAUGAGAACGGCAAAUCAGUAAGAGACAUCAUAGAUCGCACCAUCUCUAACAAAGUACGAUUACGACGUUCGGACACACCAUUACGCUGUGGUGUUCCAGGCGGUGUUAACUGCGAAACAAUUCCACAUUGUCUUAAGUGAGUACCAAACUCGAAACUCAGAUAUUCACCCCCACGAUCAGACCGUAGGAAUUUGAUCUUCUUGUUACGAUGAUUUUCUACUUCACUCUGAAAUUGCUUGAACUUUUCAAAUGUUUCAGACUUGUGCUUCAUCAAGUAGACAUAACCAUAUCUACUUAAAUCGUCAGUGAAGGUGAGAAAAUAACGAUAUCCACCGCGUGCCUCCACGCUCAUCGGACCACACACAUCGGUAUGUAUGAUUUCCAACAAGUCACUUGCACGCUCCAUUGUUCCGGAGAACGGAGUUUUAGUCAUCUUGCCCAUGAGGCAUGGUUCGCACGUGUCAAGUGAAUCAAAGUCAAGUGACUCCAAAAGUCCAUCAGCAUGGAGUUUCUUCAUGCGCUUUACACCAAUAUGACCCAAGCGGCAGUGCCACAAAAAUAUGGCGCUAUCAUUGUUUACUCUAACUCUUUUGGUCUCAAUGUUAUGUAUAUGCGUAUCGCUAUCGAGAUUCAAUAUGAACAAUCCUCUCACAUUCGGUGCAUGACCAUAAAAGAUGUUACUCAUAGAAAUAGAACAACCAUUAUUCUCAGACUUAAAAGAGUAACCGUCUCGCAAUAAACAAGAUCCAGAUAUAAUGUUCAUGCUCAACGCAGGCACUAAAUAACAAUGUUUUAAGUUCAUCACUAAUCUCGAUGGUAGUUGAAGUGACACGGUGCCGACGGCGAUUGCAUCAACCUUGGAACCGUUUCCUACGCGCAUCGUCACUUCGUCUUUCGCCAGCCUUCGUCUAUUCCGCAGUUCCUGCUUCGAGUUGCAAAUGUGAGCAACAGAACCGGUAUCGAAUACCCAGGCACUACUACGAGAGCCGGUUAAGUACACAUCAAUAACAUGUAUAUCAAAUAUACCUGAUUUUUCUUUGCCCGCCUUCUUAUCUGCCAGAUACUUGGGGCAAUUGCGCUUCCAGUGACCCAUACCCUUGCAAUAGAAGCACUCUGUUUCAGGCUUAGGUCCAGCCUUGGGUUUCUUCGGCGGAUUGGCAACAGGCUUGCCGCUCUUCUUCGAAUUUCCCUUCUUGCCUUUGCCGUUUCUCUUGAAACUAGUGGUCUUGCUCACCAUCAACACUUGAUGCUCUUUACGGAGUUCAGACUCUGCGACUUUCAGCAUCGCAAACAACUCGCCGGGAGACUUGUUCAUCCCUUGCAUGUUGUAGUUCAACACAAAGCCUUUAUAGCUUGGCGGCAGUGAUUGGAGGAUUCUGUUAGUGAUAGCUUCUUGCGGGAGUUCAAUCCCCAGUUCAGCUAGACGGUUUGAGUACCCAGACAUUUUGAGCACAUGUUCACUGACAGACGAGUUUUCCUCCAUCUUGCAAGCAUAGAAUUUAUCGGAGGUCUCAUACCUCUCGAUCCAGGCGUUCUUCUGAAAGAUAAACUUCAACUCCUGGAACAUCUCAAAUGCUCCAUGACGCUCAAAGCGACGUUGAAGUCCCGGCUCUAAGCCAUACAAGACUGCACAUUGAACUAUUGAGUAGUCCUCCUUACGUGCUAACCAAGCGUUCUUAACAUCCUGAUCAGCCGUAGCGGCUGGUUCAUCUCCUAGCGCAGCAUUAAGGACAUAAUCCUUCUUUCCAGCUUGUAAGAUUAGCUUAAGAUUACGAGCCCAGUCUACAAAGUUGCUUCCAUCAUCUUUCAACUUAGCUUUNNNNNNNNNNNNNNNNNNNNNNNNNNNNNNNNNNNNNNNNNNNNNNNNNNNNNNNNNNNNNNNNNNNNNNNNNNNNNNNNNNNNNNNNNNNNNNNNNNNNCUGUUAUCUUCAUCCCCGACGCUCUUGGCGCCAGCCGCGGCAAACUCGUGGCCGUCGGCGGUGUCUUCGUGGAGCCAGUACUCCUCCCAGGCGGGGGCGUCGAAGAACAGGUAGAGCGGCGCGCUGUGCGAGAGCGACAUGAUCGAACCGGCGAGGUCUUCCAUGAGCUGCAAAACCUCAGAUAGGUAGGAUCCAACCGAAAGCUGGGAGAGUGUAUUGGCGCCGGAUGUGAUCGGACUAGAAAUGGUUCCUGUAUAUAUACGUGGGAGAGUGACCUUUUUUCCUGCCCCAAAACGAGAGUUUUUGACCGGGGUUGGUUAUACAUACAAGUCGCAACCCAAUGAUUGGUCUAUCCAGUGAAUGCAGUCCACUUGUGAACUACUCAACUUAUUGCCUCGGCAAGCUCUCGUCGUCUAAAUUAACGUAUGUGUUAUGUUAUCCCAACGAACUCCCGCGCCAGAUCAGCACGUAGAAAAUUCGUGCGCGUGUGAGCUAUGGUGACGAACGUGACGGCGACGACGAUGGCGGUAUGUAUUUUUAUCGGCGUGCCGCGUACGUGUUACCAGCAGUCAUGCGGUUACCAAACACCCACGCGAGCAGAGAGGUUGCAGACGAAUGAAGCAUAUAUAUUGGGCUGCAGCCCCAGAAAAUGUGGCUCGAAAUCUGGAAAGGAUGACGGUAUUUUAUUUGGGANCAGCCCCAGAAAAUGUGGCUCGAAAUCUGGAAAGGAUGACGGGAUUUUAUUUGGGAUUUUGCUGGCCGAUGCUAUAUAUCUUAUCUCACACUCGAACAAUGUGGUAAUUUGGCGGGCGCGCAGAAUGUCGCGUCGUUUCUUUACCCGACGGCAACAAAGCGCAGAUUGCUAGCUGCUGGAGAAAAAGAACCAUGUGCGGCGGCCUUGUUUAAGAAUGCUUGGCAAGGUACUCGAUUUAUUUCGGUUUGAACCAUGGGUAGUUAGGCAUCUAUCUGUCUAUUUUCUAUCCAUCUCUCUCUUCUAUUAACUACACUACGCUCCUUAAUUCUGAAGGCAUCAAAAUCAAUUGAGAUCUUAAAUUUAAAAUUGAGUCAUACGAUUCUGAGCGGAUCAAUAAUUUCUCAACGUGUACUCUCAUUCAAUUCUUCUAUUUUACUAUGCUUUCUAAUUUUGGAGCUCUCUUAGUUGAAUGGGGUAUUCAAUUUUAGAAUUGGUUCAUAUCUUGAUCAAGUCAAUGAUCAGCGACAAUCAACAUAUAAAAAUAUAGGGAAAAUCUAAUGUGCUUCCUACGCACACAUGUUUUUCCGUGCAGCGGCCGCGCGCAUGUGUCAGAUCUUAAAAGGAUGGAGACGAUUUACCGAUUAACAUAAUGUAGUAUUGAUUAGUUUAAUAGAAGUAUAAGAGGGAAUCUACUUUUUGCACUUACACGCUGCUGAGUUAUACUAGCUAUUUGCAUUCUAAAAAUGAUUUAUUUUUCAAACCGUUAUCUCAAUUAAUGAUCCGCUUUCAUCGUUAACUUUAUCGCGACGAGAUCUUCAAAACUAGAUCUCAUGUUAACAUGUUUCAAUAAUUUUUGUUUUCGUCGGUACUUGCCAGAUUAUUAUGAUUUACUUAUCAUAUUAUUUGUUAUAUAGUUCUCACAUUAAAUCAACUUGGUUAUCACGUUCAUGAAUGAGUAAAAAACUUGAUUCAUUAUACUUGUGCUGGUUCAAGCAUUUGCUUGUUUAUUAUUAGUGCUUUAAUACCCACUUUUUAGCUUCAUAGAACACUACAAUACUUAAAAAGUAUAAAUUAUUGUCACGGUAACUAUGUAUAAUUUUUUAUGACAACUGUACAUUCGUAAGAUAACAACUAUGUUGACACAAAUGUGGCAACUAGGAACGACGAAAAAAAAUCAACGAAACAUAUCGACAUGGGAUCUUAUUUUGAAGGUUUUGUCGAGACGAACCAAACAGUAAAGUCGAAUCUCCAAUCAAAUUAUUAAUUUGUGAGAUAAAACUUUUUUAAGAUUGACAAUAAAUAUGCAUAAGAUGUUAACUAGGACUGGAAAAUGCUUUGUAUGCAUGCGCUGCCAAAAUGCUCUUUUUUGUCAUUGAGAUGCAUGCAAUGCAUGCAAUAGUAUAAGUUUUUGUUGUUCGUACAUUUCUGAACAUAAGAGCCGUAUUUGUAUAAUUUUUUAAUCCCAAAACAUGCGCUUAAACGCGAUUUGCGUCGUGGCCAGCCAGCCGCCGCACGGGAAAGCAGCCGUGUGGCGCCGCUACGUAGCGAGCUCAAAAAAUACAUCAAUCUCGCGCACCCUCAUAUCCCCUAGAAAAAUGUAACGCCAUAUACUGCACGAGAAUGUCUUGGUCAGGUUUAGGAUAUAAUGUGUAUUAAUUAUUGAAAAGUCAAUUUUCUUUAACUUUGACCUAGUUCAGAGACAAGACAUUCACAAUACUGAUUAUAUAAAAUAUAAAUUUGUUCUAUGAUGAAUCUAUCAAUACCUAUUUGAUAUUAUGAUAUUGGUAUAUUUCUCUCAAUUUUGUCCAACUUAAAGAGGUUUGACUUUCUAGAAAACUACUCAUCGUAAUUUUGAAACACUGGAAGUAAAAAUGUAUAAAAAUCCAAUAACGCUAACGCCCAACCCUUCUAGUAAGUUACUAAGCUCUCUAGAAACUGAGCUUUCUCGUACAGUAAGAUAGUUUUUGUAGUUGUGGCCCCACAUGAGAGGGAGUGGUUCGUUCAAGCCUAUCCGCGUGUGAACCUGGCACACCUACACUAGUCGAUAAACAAAUCUUCAAAUCCAUGAAAAUUUUGUAAAUGGAUAACGUCUCAGGAAUUCAUGAACUCCUUGAGAAAUUCAACAACAUUUUCUAAGCUCAUGAACAUUUUUUAAUUAGCGGAUUGUUUUUGAAUUUCAGUUCUUAGAUUUCACAAAAAAAUCUAAAUUCAUGAGCAGUUUAUAAACGUAAUUUUUUAAACAUUUUAAACAUACUCUAUAGUUUUUCUAGUUUUCCUUCCUCUUUGUUUUCUUCUUUGCUUCUCCGGAUGGACCUGGGUUCCAUAGGGAUACUGGCCAGCCAAUCAAAGCAAGAUUUAUGGGUAUGCGUGUUUGGUCGUUCUUUGAGGUGAUGUGCACUGAAUAGGAUGCGCUCAUGUGAGUUAUUUGGCUUGCCGGGAGAGGUGAACUGGUUUUCUGCUUCGUGCGUUCAUGUAAUAGCCCUGGAUUUCUCCCCAAAUUUAAAAAGUGUUUGAUAUUUAAUUUUUCUAUUAUCAUUUCGUCAUGCCAAUAAAUUUUUCAACCUAAGUAAAACUUUUCAUAGUUUCCAAAAUAUUGUAUGGGUCAUUUUUCUAUUUUAUUAGAAUACAAUUCUUUCUAUUGGGUUUCGAUCAAAUAUUAUUAUUUUUCUAAUCUUCUUCUUCAAUGGAGGCCUCCAAACUUAGGACAUAAUCUUUUCAACCCAUUAUAAAGCCUUCCCCAAAGUUUCUCAUUUUGAGCACACUUCUAGAUCACACCUCUAGUUCAAAUAUAAUUCUUGCUUUCAUGUCUUACAAAUUUAAUUCACAACUUAUAAAUGCUAGUGGACCUUUAAAACAUGUAGAAAUUGCCACAUACAAAAUUUCAGCCCAUUUGGGAUUUAUUUGACUCUCCAGAUAAAAUUUGCCUUUCUCUUUUAAAGUAUUCUAGUUUAAAAAGUUGAAGUCAGUUUUGGCAGCAAUCCUAACCGGCCCACUUGCCUUUCCAUCCCAUCUUGUAGGAACCAGCUCGGUGAGCCCAGCUCGUUUCUCCCUCUCUUUACUUGUUUCACUUAACUUAGUCGACCCAGCCCACCUAUCAAAACAUUACGCCUCUCACUAUUCAUCAUCUUCCCCAAGAGACACAACGCGUGAUGUCGUGAGCAGAACCGACGUCCACCUGCUCCACAUCGUCACCCCUCCCUAUAAAAACCCCACAACUUCCCUAGGGCCCCCUUACUCCUCCCUUCCUCCGGUGAUUUAGCCUAGGUAAGCUCGCCACCACAGAGUCCUCGCUUACACAUAGGAUACGUUGCUAGCUCCGCCAUGAGCAACCUCUGCCCCAGCGUCAAUCGACAUCUCCACAAACUCUGCUACCUCCCCUUCUUCCUCUAAUACCAUGAACAUUGCGAGGUAGAGCAAACACCCACUCACAGCACGAUAAAACUUGAGAAGACCUAGUAGCGGGGCACCUAAUGGUUUUUGUUGUUCCGGUUUUAUUCAAGUUUUGUGUCCAUUUCUCAAAUUUGUUUUCUUACAACUAGUUUUAUGUUCAGUUUUACCUUCUUUUCUUACAAAACCGUUUCCCUUCUUCCCUUUUAUUGUUCAUUUUGUAUGUUAUUACUNNNNNNNNNNNNNNNNNNNNNNNNNNNNNNNNNNNNNNNNNNNNNNNNNNNNNNNNNNNNNNNNNNNNNNNNNNNNNNNNNNNNNNNNNNNNNNNNNNNNACUACUUCCCCGACGUCGACCACCUCUUCGGUACCAUGGCCAACGACAACGCCAACACCAAUCCUCCUGCUGUUGCAACUCAGUACGUACUCAUGUGCUUCUUCUUUGAAUUCCUCUGCUAGAUAUGUUUCGUUUCUACUCAUUACUUCAUAUGAUACCUUGUCUUUGUAGGGCGGUUAUACAUAUGCUCUUUUCUGGAUCCUACGUGCACAUGUCUUUUGUAUUUUCAUCUGUAUAUAGCAUGCCUUCUUCCGUCUUAGUUAUGAUGAUUAUGUUUUUCCUAGCUUUUCUUUUAAUAAAAUCCUUUGGUAAAUUGCUCAUAUUUCCAAGAAUCCAAAAACCUUAUUAUAGGCAAUUUACCUCGAGUGGUUUUGCUUCUUCCAUGAGACCUCCUAUGUUUGAGGGUGUUCACUAUAAGAGGUGGCACGUGAGAGCUGUCCUAUGGUUUCAAACCAUGAGCUGCUAUGACGCCACUCUUGGCAAACCUGAAGGAGAUCAUGAUGCUCAACAGGAUCUAGCCUUUCAGAAAAUGGAUACCUUGUUUAAGGCUGCUCUUUUGAGCGUUCUUGGUGAGAACAUAGUUGAUGCUUAUGCGUCAAUUGAUAAUGGAAAAGAUAUGUGGGAUGCACUCGAGGCCAAGUUUGGGGUCUCGGAUGCUGGCACUGAGCUGUACAUCAUGGAACAAUUCUAUGACUACAGGAUGACUGAAGAGCGCUCUGUGGUUGAGCAAGCUCAUGAAAUACAGUCAUUUGCAAGAGAACUUGAGCACUUUAAUUGCAUGCUACCGGACAAGUUUGUUGCCGGAGGCAUCAUCACUAAACUUCCUCCUUCAUGGAGGAACUUUGCUACCUUACUGAAGCAUAAGAGACAGGAGUUUUCCGUUCCAGAUCUCAUAGGUACUCUUGAUGUGGAAGAAAAGGUGAGAGCAAAAGACACACGUGCUCGAGCUAUUGAGGGAGGUUCUAGUGCCAAUCUGGUACAGAAGAAAAACUUCCAGCCCCACAAUUUCAAGAACAAGGGCAAGUUCGAUGGUAAAGCAAAGUUCGAUGGGAAGAACAAGGCUGUACAGCACACCAACUUCAAGAAGAAGGAUGACAAGAAGAAAGGUGUUUGUCAUGUGUGCGGAGAUCCUGAUCAUUGGGCACCUAACUGCCCUAACCGUUAUGACAAGCGUCAACAUGGGAAAGGCGGAAAGUCUGCUAAUGUCAUCAUUGCUGGCACUGACGUGGAGGAUGUUGGGUAUGGUAUAUUACCCACUAUUCUUUCAGUAUGUCAUUUUCCUGAUUGGUUAAUUGACACGGGUGCUAAUGUGCAUAUAUGCGGUGAUAUUUCCAUGUUUUCAUCUUAUUAGUCCACAGGGACUUCCACCGUCCUGAUGGGCAACGGUUCAUGUGCUUCUGUUCGUGGUGUUGGCACGGUCGAUCUGAAGUUUACUCCGGGAAAGAUCGUGCAGCUGAAGAACGUGCAUUAUGUCCCCUCUGUGAAUAAAAAUCUUGUUAGCGGAUCUCUUUUGUGUAGAGAUGGCUACAAGCUUGUCUUUGAGUCUAAUAAAUUUGUAAUAUCCAAGUAUGGAACUUUUGUUGGUAAGGGCUACGAGUCAGGAGGCCUGUUCCGUUUAUCCUUGGCAGAUGUUUGCAAUAAAGUUGUUAAUCAUGUUUACAACAAUAGUGAAUCAAAUGUGUGUCAUUCACGUCUUUGUCAUGUUAACUUUGGUUGCAUGUCGCGACUAGUCAAAUUGAACUUAAUCCUAGCUUUAACACCGUCAAGGGAUCUAAGUGUCAAGUUUGUGUGCAAGCCAAACAACCUCGUAAGUCUCACACGACUGCCGAAACGAGGAAUCUUGCACCACUAGAACUCAUACAUUCAGAUCUAUGUGAAAUGAAUGGUAUUUUGACAAAAGGUGGAAAGAAAUAUUUCAUGACACUAACCGAUGACUCCACUAGAUACUGUCGAGUGUAUCUUUUGAAAUCUAAGGAUGAGGCUUUAAACUUUUUCAAGAUCUAUAAAGCUGAAGCAGAAAACCAACUUGAUCGAAAGAUCAAGAGGCUUAGGUCCGAUCGUGGUGGAGAGUAUUUCUCAAAUGAAUUUGAUUCCUUUUGUGCGGAACAUGGUAUAGUCCAUGAGAGGACGCCUCCCUAUUCACCUCAAUCAAAUGGGAUAGCUGAAAGAAAGAACCGUACUCUAACUGAUUUGGUUAACGCCAUGUUAGACACAUCGGGUCUCUCCAAGGCAUGGUGGGGGGAGGCGAUAUUGACUGCAUGUCAUGUCCUAAAUCGAGUUCCCACAAAGAACAAAGAGAUAACUCCAUUCGAGGAAUGGGAAAAGAAAAGGUUAAAACUCUCUUAUCUACGAACCUGGGGUUGUUUGGCAAAAGUCAAUGUGCCAAUCUCAAAGAAGCGCAAGCUAGGACGAAAAACUGUGGAUUGUGUUUUUCUGGGAUAUGCUUUUCAUAACAUUGGAUAUAGAUUCUUGGUUGUAAAAUCUGAGGUAUCUGACAUACAUGUCGGUACAAUCAUGGAGUCGAAUGAUGCGACUUUCUUCGAAGAUAUCUUUCCCAUGAAGGAUACAGCUACCUCAUCUAAUCAGGAGAUGCCUAAUUCAUCAAACCAUGAAUUAGUCACAUUUACUGAACCUAUCAUUUCGACGGAACACUUUGAAAAUAUUGUGGAGGAGAACAAUGAAGUUCCUACCAGGAGCAAGAGACAGAGGACUGCAAAGUCCUUUGGUGAUGAUUUUCUUGUGUAUCUCAUAGAUGACACUCCCAGUUCUAUUUCAGAGGCCUAUGCGUCUGAAGAUGCUGACUACUGGAAGGAGGCAGUCCGUAGUGAGAUAGAUUUCAUCUUGGCAAAUGAAACUUGGGAGAUCACUGAUCGUCCUUAUGGGUGCAAACCUAUAGGGUGCAAAUGGGUAUUCAAGAAGAAGCUUAGGCCUGAUGGUACUAUCGAAAAGUACAAGGCACGGCUCGUGGCUAAGGGUUAUACCCAAAAGGAAGGUGAAGACUUCUUUGAUACUUACUCACGUGUGGCUCGACUGACCACUAUUCGAGUACUACUUUCACUAGCCGCCUCACAUGGUCUUCUCGUUCAUCAAAUGGAUGUUAAGACUGCUUUCCUAAAUGGAGAGUUGGAUGAGGAAAUUUACAUGGAACAACCAGAUGGGUUUGUAGUACAUGGUCAGGAAGGGAAAGUAUGCAAGUUGCUGAAAUCUCUAUAUGGACUUAAGCAAGCACCAAAGCAGUGGCAUGAGAAGUUUGAAAGAACUCUAACUACUGCAGGCUUUCUAGUAAACGAAGCUGAUAAAUGUGUGUACUAUCGCCAUGGUGGGGGCGAGGGAGUUAUCCUUUGCUUGUAUGUUGAUGACAUACUGAUUUUCGGAAAAAAUCUGAAUGUUAUUAAAGAGGUCAAGGAUUUCCUAUCUCAAUGUUUUGAGAUGAAGGAUUUAGGAGUGGCUGAUGUCAUUCUGAACAUCAAGUUAUUGAGAGACGAAGAUGGUGGGAUUACAUUGCGUCAAUCUCAUUAUGUGGAAAAGAUCUUGAGUCACAUUGGGUAUAGUGACUGCAAGUCCUCUCCCACACCAUAUGAUGUGAGCGUGCUGCUUCGAAAGAAUCGAAGAAUUGCUAGAGAUCAAUUGAAAUAUUCUCAGAUUAUUGGCUCGCUUAUGUACUUAGCCAGUGCUACAAGACCUGACAUCUCUUUUGCUGUUAGCAAACUGAGUCGGUUUGUCUCAAAAUCAGGAGAUGUGCAUUGGAAAGCUCUAGAGAGAGUUUUGCGUUAUUUGAAAGGCAGUGCAAAUUAUGGAAUUCACUAUACUGGAAACCCAAAGGUGCUUGAAGGGUAUAGUGAUUUAAACUGGAUCUCUGAUGCUGAUGAGAUAAAGGCCACUAGCGGAUAUGUAUUCACUCUUGGAGGUGGCGCUGUUUCUUGGAAGUCUUGCAAGCAAACGAUCUUAACAAGGUCAACAAUGGAGGCAGAACUCACAGCACUAGAUACAGCUACGGUCGAAGCAGAUUGGCUUCGUCGGCUCUUGAGUGACUUGUCGGUUGUUGAGAAACCAGUACCUAGUAUCCUUAUGAUCUGCGACAAUCAAACUGUGAUCACGAAAGUGAGCAGCUCAAAGGAUAACAUGAAGUCAUCAAGACACAUUCAGAGAAGGUUAAAAUCUGUCAGGAAAAUGAGAAACUCCAGAGUUAUUGCAUUGGAUUAUAUCCAAACAUCUAAAAAUCUGGCAGAUCCAUUUACUAAGGGUCUAUCACGUAAUGUGAUGGAAAAUGCAUCGAGGGAGAUGGGUAUGAGACCCUUAAUUUGAGUUGUUCACAGUGGUAACCUAUUCUUUGUGAUCGGAGAUCCCGUGAAUUAGAUGUGGAAGACAGGCUGUUGGUCAACUGAGAGGAAAGUAUCCUUAUCAUUAAUAAUACCAAUCCAUGAAGAUGCAAUACUUUCCUAAAUUGCAUGGCAGGUUGAUGUACAUCUUAAUAUGUUCUAAGUGGCUUUUUGAAGCAGAGGUGUUAUCCUGCAGAACAUCUUUUGAAGAACAUACCUAUAUGAGUCUGAUUGUUAAACGUCGCAAUCUAUGAGAGUAGGGUGCUCUCUAGUAAACUCAUGAAAGGUCUCGGAGUAUGAGGCAUAAGCUCCACCCGCGGGGAAGUCCUACGGUAGCCUAGUAUCGAUCAAACCUCUGUGUGAAUCUAGUUUCGCAGAAAACUUGCAGUUCAAGGCCUAGUCCACUGUUUAAGUUGCUUACUAGUGUAGCAUAGAGAUCUAGGUGGAAGUUCAACUUAACAGUCUCCACUGCAGUAUCGGUAUAUAAGACAGAGUUUUGGAACCAAAGGCAAUUUUUGUGUGCCUCUGGGAUCUGGUGGGGGAUUGCUGGAAUUUUAUUCAAUUGUUUGGGCCAGCCCAAUAUAUAAUUCCUAAUAAAUCCUAGAGGACCACGCAACCCAUUUGUUCAAGGCAAGAGGUGGAAAUGUUUAGUCCCACAUCGCUAGUUUAGUGGAAGUUGGACCUCCUUAUAAGGGAGGAUGUUUCCACACAUGUAUGAGCUUGAGAACAAGAGAGACAUACACGCGCGCUCCUCCUCCUCCUCCGCCCGCCUCGUCACGACGCGCCGCGGGUUGCGGGAACGAGCCGAACUAAAUUUUUGCCACGCACGACUGGUAUAUGAAAGGCCACUCGGAGAAGCUGAACAUUUUCUGCGGUAGUGGAUAUUGAACGCACACGCCGCAGUUUCGUCGCGUCUGUUCGCUUCACAUCCCGUCGCUGGCCUCUCGCCUCCUUCUCCUGCGCCUAUAAAAGAGAGGUCGCUCCUCUCCAGAGAACGCAUCAGAAGUUCCCACUCGCCACCGGUUCUUCUCUCUGUGCUGCUGCUACGUUCUUCCUCAUCCCGUCCNNNNNNNNNNNNNNNNNNNNNNNNNNNNNNNNNNNNNNNNNNNNNNNNNNNNNNNNNNNNNNNNNNNNNNNNNNNNNNNNNNNNNNNNNNNNNNNNNNNNCCGCAGCCCCGCCGUAGGUUUGGGGACUCUUCUAGGCGUCGUCAGGGAGCCGGGAGAGCCUCUUCAAGGGCGCGGCCACAACCCCAUCAUCCGCGGGCGCGACCUCCCCCUCCGCCUCCCUUUGUCGGGAGGAAUGCCCCCAUGGCCAUCGCAAGUUCAGAGGCAGCUGGCCCUGACGCCGGGCGCACGGGGAAAGACCCUAUGGAAGAUUUCUUCAAGACCGUGCCCAAGCCCUACAACACCUCCGCCACCGUCGACAGCUUGGCGACUGACGUACACGCCGCUGCAGAAGCAGUAGUCAAUUCACCGCUUGAGUUCGACGCGGCGCUGCUGCUAAAUGACCCCUCCGAGGCAGUCCAACUAGACGCCUUCAGCCCCACUCUGUCCGCCGCAGCGUCGGACAUGGGCCAAUACAAUAGAACUACCCCGACAACGGCCUGUACGAUGGAACUGCAGCUAGGUGCAGUCACCGGGCGUGUGAGCAAGAUGCAGCUGGGAGCUGCCACUGAUCGGCCGGAGGCUCGGGGCCUCUUCCGCGCCAGCAAGCAGGCCCUCAUCUCGGCUGCUCCUGCCCCGGCUACUGCUCGUCACCAAGCUACACCUCCCAAGAGCAGGGCUUCCUCGACCCCGACUAGGCACAACGCCAGACAGGCGGCUAGCGGCUCGACGGUGCCAGUAGCUCAGCGCGCCUCGCUGCGCCUCGUGAAGGAGCUGGGGCUGCUGGGCCCUCGAGAUAAGAUGACCGAUGAGGUGGCGAGAGCACUGCUGCAGCGUUUCGAGGAACCGCUGUCUGACGGUGACUUAGCAGUGAUUGCCAAGCUGACUCGCCUGGAUAGCUAGGCACUGCGUGUGAUGGCCGGCAUGAUCGGCCCUGAAGGAGUUAUCGAGGAGGCAAUGGUGUAACCCAUGUUAGUCGACUUAUGUAUCCCACUACGUUGGCAACCGAGUAUAGCUCGGUUUAGGUUUGAUCUAGGUUCGUCGAGAGGUAGUUCGGGCAGAGAGAAGGCAACUCGUCGCCGGCGCAUCUUGGGGGCUGUUGGUGGGCGCCGGCGCGCCAUAGUUAAGUUGGCUGUGUGUGUCAUGGACCUGAGGUCGUUUAGUUAUUUCCUUCGGAGCUUUGUUAGGUUUCCAAAUGAGUGAAAAAUUCCCACCCAUUAUGUGUUGGAACGUACGCGGUCUUAACAGCCCAGCUAAGAGGGCGGCCGUCGGGAAGAUGGCGAACGCACUCCGGGCGACCAUCCUAUGUCUCCAGGAGACUAAGAUCUCUGCUUGGUCGCCAGAACUAGUUAGGGAAAUCGGGGGAGCGAAUCUAACCGGAUGUAUCGCGCUGCCGGCAAUAGGCACUUGUGGGGGAGCAGCUAUCCUUUGGGAUAAAAACCUUGCCACCGUCACCUCCCAUGCGAUAGGAGUCUUUGCCAUCACGGCGAAGGUUACUCUGGUGGGGAACCAGCAUAGCUUCUGGUUGUCCUCGGUAUACGGCCCGGCGGACGAUGUUAGAAAGGAAAAUUUCCUAAGAGAAAUUUCCUCCUCCACACCACCGGCGUCUGAGCCGUGGCUCAUCAAUGGAGAUUUUAAUCUCAUAUACGAAGCGCGCGACAAGAAUAACCUUAUCCUCAACCGAAGGUUAAUGGGUAGGUUUAGAUCGGCAAUCGACUCGGCGGGACUAAAAGAGAUUAGAUGCAGAAAUCACAAAUACACAUGGAGCAAUGAGCGUCGGGAUCCCACCCUAGUUAGCAUCGACAAGUUUUUCUGCAACAUCCCCUGGGACAGCUGCUUCCCCUCGGUGUCCUUGCAUGCGGCAUCAACGGCAACAUCGGACCAUUGUCCGUUAGUCCUAAUGGACACGUACGACCACCCCUAGGCCGGCACAAUUCAGAUUUGAAUUUUUUUGGCCUAGCUUCCCACGCUUCCACGUCA
rnacentral:lncRNA from 1 species